GUCACGUGGCCCCGGCCGCCUCACGUGACCCGGUGCAGCGCGCGCCCGGGACGCUACCCAGCUGAGCAUCCCGCACCGCCCCGGCCCCGGCCUAAACCCUGCUCUUCGGGCCUUAGAACCCGACUUCUCUAGAAGCCGACUGGCCGUCUGAGGCCCGCCCCGAGGCCUUGCCACAGGAGUGUCCCCAUGAAAUCCGGUGGCUGCUGCCGGGACUUACAGGCUUUUGUCUCUGAGGAACCAGGAACGCGCGAGGCACGGGCUCCUGCUCUGCUCCCCGAGAUGGCUUGGCUGUGGGGAGGGUCGGCCUACCAUCCCUAGAGACCUAGGACGGAAAAGCGACCGAGAAACUUGGCUCCCUGCCCACUCUGGGGCGCGUCUGGCCCCUGGGGACCACCCAGGUGGUGCUGCCUGGGACGAAAGGCCGCGGAGCUGGGACUAGUUUGUUUUUACUGGAGACGCGCCUCUCCCUCCCCGCCCCUCACCUCCUGAUUGAAAACACCUAAGGCAGGCCAGGGACUAGGGAAGGUGGCAGCUGGACAAAGGUCCCAAGAGCAUCUACCAUUGAGGAGGCAUUAAAUAACCAAGUGGAAUGACUCAGCCAGUUGAUGUCAGCCAGCUUUUUCGUCAGCCACCCUAGUCCUGGCACAAUGGAUUCAUAAACAGAGGAGACAUGGAAGCAAAGAAGGAGGCUAUCCAUGGGCCCAACCACAUGAUGUCCCACUUACCAUUGUUAAUCUAGCUACUGUUACAGCCAAAUAAUCACCCUGACACCAACAGAAACUGUUGCUGAAACUCAGUACAACAAUAUCCCUUGAAGAUACCAACCAGCCACUUGAUGGCAAGUUGACCCUAUUGAACUCUUUCCAUAAUGAAAGCAGCAGCCAUUCAUUUUCACAGGAAUAGGCAGGUAUUCUGUGUAUGGGUUUGCCUUUCCUGCCUGCAGUCUCAUCAAACAUGACCAUCCAAGGGCUUAUGCUGUAUUUAAUCCACCAAGGUGGCAUUCCACAUAUCAUUGCAGCAGACCAAGGGACCAACUUUACAGCAAAGGACAUAUAGCAGUGGUCACAUGACCAUGGAAUCCACUGGACCUAUCAUAUGGCACACCACCCAAGCUACUGGCCUCAUAAGCAAUGGAACAGCCUACUGAAAGCUUGGCUAAAGUGCCAGCUUGGAAAUGAUACCCUGUGAGGAUAAAGCACUACCCUUGGAAUGCUUUUACACUGUUGGGAGUGUAAAUUAGUUCAACCACUGUGGAAGACAGUGUGGUGAUUCCUCAAGGAUCUAGAACCAGAAAUACCAUUUGACCCAGCAAUCCCAUUACUGGGUAUAUACCCAAAGGAUUAUAAAUCAUCCUACUGUAAAGACACAUGCAAACGUAUGUUUACUGCAGCACUAUUUACAAUAGCAAGGACUUGGAACCAACACAAAUGCCCAUCAAUGAUAGACUGGAUAAAGAAAAUGUGGCACAUAUUCACCAUGGAAUACUAUGCAGCCAUAAAAAAGCAUGGGAUCAUGUCCUUUUCAGGGUCAUGGAUGAAACUGGAAGCCAUCAUUCUCAUCAAACUAGCACAGGAACAGAAAACCAAAUAUCACAGUUCUCAUUCAUAAGCGGGAGUUGAACAAUGAGAACACAUGGACACAGGGAGGGGAACAUCACACACCAGGGCCUGUCGCGGGGUUGGGGGCAAGGGGAGAGAGAGCAUUAGGACAAAUACCUAAUACAUGUGGGGCUUAAAACCUAGACGACAGGUUGAUGGGUGCAGCAAACUACCAUGGCACAUGUUUACCUACGUCACAAACCUGCACAUUCUGCACAUGUAUUCCAGAACUUAAAAUUAAAAAAAAAAUUUUUUUAAAAAGCACUACCCUCCAGGAUGCAGUAAUGCCUGAAGUAGUCACCAUUAUAUAAGUGCUGUAUCCCCAAGAGAAUACCUGGAAGAGGAAUCCAUGGUGUGGGAGCAGCAGUGUCCUCACUUGCUAUCAGUCCCAGUGACCCACUUAAAGAAUUUAUGUUUUCAUCCUCACAAAUGUAGCCCACAGGGUCGAAGGUCUUGGUUUCCAACGGGGAAACAUUUCCACCAGGGAACACAGCAAGAGUCUUCAUUGAACUUUAAGCUACAUCAUCAUGCAGGCACUUUGGGCCUUUCAUGCCAAGGACCAGCAGGCAAGCAAAGGAUCCUGGUUGGGGUGAUUGACUGUUAUCAAGAGGCAGUCUAGCUGUUGUUACACAAUGGAGGCAGGAGGAAUAUGUUUGAUACCCAGAUCAUCGACUUGGACAUCUGUUAGUACCAGCUUGCACAAUUUCAAUGGCAAAUGGACAAGUGCAGCAGCUACACCCCGAGAAGGUAUGGCAAACAGGAACCAGAAUGCCUCAGUUUUGAGAGUCUGAGUCACCUCACUAGAAGAGUCACCUAAACCUUCACAGGGACUUGUCGAUGGUGAGGAGAAUCUAGAAUUCACAGCAGAGGAGUAGGGGGAUGAAUAUCAGCUAUAGCCUCAAGACAAGACCAGCUGCAGCUGCAGGGAGGCUGUAGUUCAUCAUACCAACCCUCCUUUUACAAGUCAUCCCCAGGGAGGCCCACCAGCGUCCCAAAGGAGCCACUCCCAGAACUCUUGUAAAGAAAGUAGAUCUGAGUGACACUUGCUGUAUUAGGCUGUUCUCACAUUGCUAUAAAGAAAUAUCUGAGACUGGG